rnacentral:ncRNA from 2 species
CCCGCUGAGGAGCGCUGCGACCGGGAACGCCCGGCCAGGCUCAGCAAAAUCAAACGGCGCUCGCAUCGG